GAGAUGGCGCAGUGCUGACAGCCGUACGGCGUCAACUGAGUCGGCGCUACGCAACAGCCUCGACUACGGAGCCAGAAGACAACUCAAAAUAUGUGAACUGCAUUUCAACAAGGACGACAUUUUAAGCAGUACCAGCAUGUAUGACCCGAAAACUGGUAUACUCUUGACAGCACCGUUGGAUCGUCGACGCUUGAGAAAAGAUGCUAUCCCAUCGAAGUUGCCUGGAUGCCCAUCUUACUUGUCGAGUCAUCAAACUGCAGUACGAGAGGACCCAGAAAUUCGUAGGGGGUGUUUAGAAAAUCGUGCUCUUCAAAUUGCUAUCCAAGAAAGUGUGGACACACAUGCGAAAAUGAUUGAUGCGAUAUCGUUCGAUAGUUUAGAACAAAUGAAAACAAAGUUGAAUGAAUGUGAAAAGCACAGUGACUGGGUAGUGAUAAA